AGGCUGAGCUUGGGCUCCUUUGGGCAUCCCCUCCAAGAAAAGAAUAGUGAGCCGUGGCUGCACACAGCAGCCUCCUUGGGAGUACAUGUACCCUGUUGCCAACAUGGUUGUCCAAGGGAACCUUGGAAACAAUU